AUUGAACGCUGGCGGCAGGCCUAACACAUGCAAGUCGAGCGGAUGAAGGGAGCUGGCUCCUUGAUUCAGCGGCGGACGGGUGAGGAAGGCCUAUGAAUCGGCCUGUGAGUGGGGGAUAACGUCCGGAAACGGGCGCUGAUACCGCAUACGUCCUGAGUGAGAAAGUGGGGGAUCUUCGGACCUCGCGCUCUCAGAUGAGCCUAGGUCGGAUUAGCUAGUUGGUGGGGUAACGGCCUACCAAGGCGACGAUCCGUAGCUGGUCUGAGAGGAUGAUCAGGCACACUGGAACUGAGACACGGUCCAGACUCCUACGGGAGGCAGCAGUGGGGAAUAUUGCACAAUGGGCGAAAGCCUGAUCCAGCCAUGCCGCGUGUGUGAAGAAGGUCUUCGGAUUGUAAAGCACUUUCAGUUGGGAGGAAGGGCGGUAAGUUAAUACCUUUCUGUUUUGACGUUACCAACAGAAUAAGCACCGGCUAACUUCGUG
rnacentral:rRNA from 1 species